UAAGCGGAGGAAAAGAAACUAACAAGGAUUCCCCUAGUAACGGCGAGUGAACAGGGAAGAGCUCAAAUUUGUAAUCUGGCGUCCCUUGGGCGUCCGAGUUGUAAUCUAUAGAAGCGUUUUCCGUGCUGGACCAUGUCCAAGUCCCUUGGAACAGGGUAUCAAAGAGGGUGACAAUCCCGUGCUUGACAUGACGACCAGUGCUCUGUGAUACGCUCUCUACGAGUCGAGUUGUUUGGGAAUGCAGCUCAAAAUGGGUGGUGAGUUCCAUCUAAAGCUAAAUAUUGGCGAGAGACCGAUAGCGAACAAGUACCGUGAGGGAAAGAUGAAAAGCACUUUGGAAAGAGAGUUAAACAGUACGUGAAAUUGUUGAAAGGGAAACGAUUGAAGUCAGUCGUGUCCGAGGGGUUCAGCCGGUCCUGCCGGUGUAUUCCCCUCGGAUGGGUCAACGUCAGUUUGGACCGGUGGAAAAGGGCAGUUGGAAGGUGGCAGCUCCGGCUGUGUUAUAGCCUUCUGUCGCACACGCCGGUCUAGACUGAGGAAUGCAGCUCGCCUUAAUGGCUGGGGUUCUCCCACAUUCGAGCUUAGGAUGUUGACAUAAUGGCUUUAAACGACCCGUCUUGAAACACG
rnacentral:rRNA from 1 species